CUUAAUUUGGGACUUAAAGGGGAAAGUGGUUAGUUACACCUGUGUGUGUCUCUUAGCUCCCCUGAACUUCAGCAUCCCUCUGAGUCUGCUCACCAGUAACAUCACCACAGCAGCACAGAAGGAUGAAUGACUGUUCCAAUUAGCUGUCUCCCUGGAGGAUCACACAGAGAUCUCAGAACCAAAACAGCAUCAUGGCGGCACUCUGAGGAAAACAGUUCCACCCCAGCUGAAAUGAAGACCCCUCUCCUCCAUGUUCCUCAGCAUAGCUUUCAGGAGGAUCUCCUCCAUGAUCUUCCCUAGCACAGAGGUGAGGCUGACAGGUCGGCAGUUCCCUUGGUUGUCCUUUCUAUCCUUAAAAAUGGGUGCGACAUUGCCUUUUUUCCAGCCAUCAGGAACUUCACCUGCCUGCCAUUACUCUUCAAAUAUCAUCAAGCCAAUUCCCUCAGGACUCUGGGAUGCAUCUCACGGGGACCCAUAGACUUACAGAUGUUCAGGUUCCUCAGGUGUCAGAGAACCUGAUCUUUGCUUACAGUGGGAGGGGCACUGCUCCCCCAAUUCUCACCUUCUGAACUGAACAAGCCUUUCUUGUUCUUCUUUGCUAAAGUCCAGUUCCAGCUGGGUCUUGACCUGUCUGAUCCCAUCCCUACACAGCCCAGAAGCAUCCCUAUACUCCUCCCAGAACACCUGUUCCUGCUUCCACUCGGUGACAUCCUGCUGUCUGACAAAGAUUCGCAGUGGUUAGUCACUGGAUAUCUCAGUGUGACAUUAGUAUAAACAAGCAAUUGGAAACAUUGCUAAAAUCAGUCUUCAGUCUGGUAUCAAGCACAGAAUAAAGGAAACUGUAUUGAAAAUCAAAAUAAAACAUCAGGAGUCCAUGUUGAGGUUUGAUCUCCUCUAGCACCUAAGAUAUGGUUUACUUUUCCAACCACUCCAAAGCCCUAGUCUGCAUCGAUGCGGAUAGGAAUGGACAGUGACCUUCAGUCAGUUAUGCCAGGGUUACUGCAGGCUUCAGUGCAGCAGACGAGAGGUCAGUGAACUCUUUCAGUGGGCUAAGGGCAGGGUCCUGUUUGCAUUUGCCUACAAGAAUGCAGAGAGAGGAAACCUGAAAUGCGUCUCUCCAGUUCACUGGCUAGAGAUGAAAAUACAAACUGUAAAAUGCUUUUAUUCUCCACAAGCACAGAGGUUUGGGGUGUCUCAGUGACUGCAGAUUGUCACUGCUGGCCCCAUGGGAAGCAGAGCUCUGCUCCUGGGGCUGCUCCGACACACCGUGAUGAAUCCCAGGAGACCUGGGGAUGCCCACUAGGGUCUGGCCUGCGGGAGGAAGAUGCAGGGUUUGGAGGGGGGUGAUGGUUGGGCGUGUGGUCUGGGUGAGCGCAGGGAUAAGCAGCAGAGGGGACAGCCACAACAUGGGGUUUUCUGAAGUUCUCACCUUUUUGCACAGUGGUUUGCAGCAGAAGGGCCAAGGGAAGAGUAGAUCUCACUCUUACCUCCACUCAGACCUCCCCGGCUCUAAGAAACACACUGCUCCAAACGAACGCUGCUGCAGUGCUCGGUGUUUAACUCCCCAUGCAGCACAGAACUACUGUCAUUGUCUUCAAUGGGGCUUUGCCUGAGAAAAAAACAGGGAUUGAAUUAGUUAUUUGCUUCAGAGAUCAUCUUAGGUGAGUCAUACCUAUAAGCAGCUUGGAAAUGUGGCAAUUCAGAGCAGUAUAUGGAAUGAACUAGACUGUAUCUAGACUGUAUGUGAGUGUGUUCUUCCACAAACUAACAGGCGCUGUGCUUACCACCAAUACCAACCAGUAACCAAACCCACUGGAAUAUCUCCAUCCAUGCAACUAAAGAAAAAGCCUUAAAUAGUUUAUAGUUCAGAGUUAAAACAAUUCAUUAACAAUAAGUAACUCGUAUAACUGGGAUCAGUAGGUGAUUUUUUCUGAGCUCUAUCAUUUCUAGGUAUGUACGUUACAGCCACAGGCAAACACAUUGCACUGCUCUGCUUUUUACACUGUGGUGUGCAGCCCAACCACGUAUACAACCCUCACGUUUCUGCCUCUCUCUCUCAAAUCAUAGUAUGAAUCUCAGGCCUUUAAAUUAAGUUUAUGCCAUGCUUCUGGAUGCUGCCGAGCGUCGUGUGCAAGAAUGACAUCAUUGUUUCUGGAGUUACGACCCAACAUGAAAAGAGGAAAAUCAGAAGCAGACUUUUUAAGAGGAAAAUAUCAAAAGAAAUGAGCACCAUGAAUGCAGCAUACGGUGCUUCUGGGUGCCGUAAACGUU
ensembl:lncRNA